CUUGGGUCCAAACCAUGCAAACGGAGGCCCAGGCAAGCUUCCCGCAGAAAGUACAGAUGGGUCUGGAAGCACUGACUGAAAUUAAGUGGAACAGCUCAGCUUUACAGGGGAAGCCUUCAGGAGUGAGGCCAGAGGCCGACAGUUUGGAAUCAUGUGGACACAGCCCAUCUGAGAGCAUAAGCUUCCUUGAAGAGGGAGCAGAGUCCAGACAGGAUUCCAAUCCUAGAGUCCACCCAAACACAGUCUUGCCCUUACUGCAAUCCUGCAAUUCAAUAAAUGUCCCUUCCUGCGCCAAUAA